CCUACGGGCGGCAGCAGUGAGGAAUAUUGGUCAAUGGCCGAGAGUCUGAACCAGCCAAGUCGCGUGAGGGAAGACGGCCCUACGGGUUGUAAACCUCUUUUGUCGGGGAGCAAAGCGAGUCACGUGUGCCUCCUUGAGAGUACCCUAAGAACAAGCAUCGGCUAACUCCGUGCCAUCAGCGGCGGUAAGACGGGGGAUGCGAGCGUUAUGCGGAUUUAUUGGGUUUAGAGGGUGCGCAGGCGGAGGUGCAAGUCAGCGGUCAAAUUGCGGGGCUCAACCCCGGACUGCCGUUGAAACUGCAGCCCUUGAGUGCGCGAGAAGUAUGUGGAAUGCGUGGUGUAGCGGUGAAAUGCAUAGAUAUCACGCAGAACUCCGAUUGCGAAGGCAGCAUACCGGCGCGCAACUGACGCUCAGGCACGAAAGCGUGGGUAUCGAACAGGAUUAGAUACCCUAGUAGUC
rnacentral:rRNA from 1 species